AUUGCAUUUUUGUUGCUGGAUCCUGCCAGUUUUGAUGGCCUCUGGGCCAUGGAACAUGCUGACAUCAGGUAUCCUGUGCAGAGGAAAGAGCUGUGCUUUUGCACCACUGAGCAGCACAGUGAUUGACAGUGCUACACAGGUGUCCUCUUCUUGAAGGGCUCUCUGCAUAUACUUCUGUAGAACAAGAUUGCAACUGGAAAGCUUUUCAGCAGACCAGACACCAGCUGAUACUUGAAAUGCAGAUUAAAUACCCCACAGAAGGUCUUGUGUGCUUCUGCAGGGCUUGUGUGGACUUUGGAGGUAGAUACUUAAACCCUGUUAGGAGCAAGAAGAAUGCAGCUCAGUGGACUGGUGGAACUCCUCUUGAUAACAUCUCCUUUCUUGAGUGUCCCUCUCCUCAGCCAGGUACCCCGAGAUUACUGGAUCCAUGCCCUAAGAUGACCUCACUACUACUUAAAGUCACAACUGGUCUUGACACUGUCCACAUGAUUGUCAUUUUUUUUUCAGGCAUUCUGAGUGCAAGAAUCACAAAACCAAGAAGGAUUCCAAAGGAAACCUUAGGCUUUGUAAGCAAUGAGUAACAGCAGGUCAAGGAGAGCCUUAAGGAAGUCUCUGGGAGGGCAAUCAGUGAAUCUGUGAAGGAUAGAUGAACACAUAAUGGAGAACUCAGGAUGUUGGCUAUUCUAGGAAGAUGAACCAUGUGC